AGAGUUUGAUCAUGGCUCAGAACGAACGCUGGCGGCGUGGAUUAGGCAUGCAAGUCGAACGUGAAAGGGGAGCAAUCCCUGAUCGAGUGGCGAACUGGUGAGUAACAGGUGGGCAAUGUGCCCCAGAGUGGGGGAUAACUCCGAGAAAUCGGAGCUAAUACCGCAUACGGUGUUAUAGGCUUUGGCUCGUAACAUUAAAGCAGUAAUGCGCUUUGGGAUCGGCCCGCCCCCGAUUAGCUAGUUGGUGAGGUAACGGCUCACCAAGGCAACGAUCGGUAGCUGGUCUGAGAGGAUGGUCAGCCACACUGGAACUGAGACACGGCCCAGACUCCUACGGGAGGCAGCAGUGGGGAAUAUUGGACAAUGGGCGCAAGCCUGAUCCAGCCAUGCCGCGUGGGUGAUGAAGGCCCUAGGGUUGUAAAGCCCUUUCAUGAGGGAAGAACACUGACCUAACCUCAGGAAGAAGCACCGGCUAACUCCGUGCCAGCAGCCGCGGUAAUACA
rnacentral:rRNA from 1 species